rnacentral:rRNA from 1 species
AUUGAACGCUGGCGGCAGGCUUAACACAUGCAAGUCGAGCGGGGUGAUGGUGCUUGCACUAUCACUUAGCGGCGGACGGGUGAGUAAUGCUUAGGAAUCUGCCUAUUAGUGGGGGACAACAUCUCGAAAGGGAUGCUAAUACCGCAUACGUCCUACGGGAGAAAGCAGGGGAUCACUUGUGACCUUGCGCUAAUAGAUGAGCCUAAGUCGGAUUAGCUAGUUGGUGGGGGCAAGGCCUACAAAGGCGACGAUCUGUAGCGGGUCUGAGAGGAUGAUCCGCCACACUGGGACUGAGAAACGGCCCAGACUCCUACGGGAGGCAGCAGUGGGGAAUAUUGGACAAUGGGGGGAACCCUGAUCCAGCCAUGCCGCGUGUGUGAAGAAGGCCUUAUGGUUGUAAAGCACUUUAAGCGAGGAGGAGGCUCUUUUGGUUAAUACCCAAGAUGAGUGGACGUUACUCGCAGAAUAAGCACCGGCUAACUCUGUGCCAGCAGCCGCCGUAA